GCAGCAAACGCAAUAAGUAUUCCACGUGGGGAGUACGUUCGCAAGAAUGAAACUCAAAGGAAUUGACGGGACCCGCACAAGCGGUGGAGCAUGUGGUUUAAUUCGAAGCAACGCGAAGAACCUUACCAGGUCUUGACAUCCCUCUGACCGGUCCGUAACGGGACCUUUCCUUCGGGACAGGGGAGACAGGUGGUGCAUGGUUGUCGUCAGCUCGUGUCGUGAGAUGUUGGGUUAAGUCCCGCAACGAGCGCAACCCUUAUCCUUAGUAGCCAGCAUGAAAGAUGGGCACUCUAGGGAGACUGCCAGGGAUAACCUGGAGGAAGGCGGGGAUGACGUCAAAUCAUCAUGCCCCUUAUGAUNUGGGCUACACACGUGCUACAAUGGUGGCUACAAAGAGAAGCGACCCUGUGAAGGUAAGCAAAUCUCAGAAAGGCCAUCCCAGUUCGGAUUGUAGUCUGCAACUCGACUACAUGAAGCUGGAAUCGCUAGUAAUCGCGAAUCAGAAUGUCGCGGUGAAUACGUUCCCGG
rnacentral:rRNA from 1 species